UGUCUUCUCUCUCCUUCUUUUUCUUCACAGGGGAAAACGGCGACAGCAACUUCCCAGUCAAGUGACCGGGUUCCAGCUGCUUUUCUCUCCUAGAAGUGGAAAAAGCAAUGAAGGUUCUUUCAUUUGGCUGAGAUCAUCUGAGGAGGAAUUCUUGGAGAGAAGCACUGAAGGAGUGAAACAUGAAUGGAGCUUUCAAGAAGAUGAACCAGCCAUUCCCCAAGGUCUCAAAGGAAAGUGUAAGGGGAUGAAAACCCGCCC
rnacentral:lncRNA from 1 species